AAGUGUUCAGUUUUCACUGUUUUGCGGACAGUGAACUUACAAAUCCAACCUGUAGCUCACAUAUACACAUUCAGACACACGUACACAGGCCAGCCAGGCUGGUUCAGCUAAUCUUCUUAGCAAUCACAAGGUUUGACUGUUGGGAAAGACCAAAGUUCACAUCAUCAGCCAAUGAGAGCGAGACAGAGAGAGAAAAAAACAAUCACAGAAAAAUAGACAGAUAAAAAAAAGACACAUACAAGAAGAAACUGGGAGGACACUGGGCCUCCACUCAAAAUCUAACUACCGGAGAAAACUGAAUAUGAGUAAAGACGACUUUCAGUACAACUAACUCACUCGCUCAGUGUUUGGUUGUCAUCUGCAAGUCUUCUCCAACGACCAUCAUUCAAAUCUGCAUUUUAAAGGAACCUGAAAACUGAGCAGUAUGCAGGUGCUGAGUGGGCCCUGGGCUGAUCUGGCUCUGCUCUUCCGACAGACAGUCGCACAGACAGACGGAGAGUCAGACAGCUUUCUUCCUCUCUGGCUGUUGGGCCUGGUGUUGUUCUUGUCCGUCUGUCUGCUACUGCUGCAACUCAUUAUCUAUCUCAGCUGGAAACUCAGACAGGUGGAGUCUGGCCUGUCAGGGUUUCCGCAGGACAGAAGCGCCAUCUACAGACCGAUGAACCAAAGUGCACACAUGAGGAGGAGGAGGAGCAUCGGAUAGCACUAACACACCUGACAGGACACACCAAUGUCUAUGGACAUAUAAAAACAGGCCUGAAGACACAUUAAGCAGUUCAGUCAAUCUGCAUGACUUCAAACUACCUGAACAGAGCAAUGUGACUAAUUUCAUCAACAGAGACCUGUUUUCAUCAAGCAACUUUUCUUCAAAUGCUCAGGGAAAUCUGGGAUUCAUCAUCACAAGCUAAAAGUAUCUUUUAGAGCUGUGUUUAUAUUCAUUUUUUACUGCAAUUGCAUUAUUAUACUACCUGGACAUAAAGUACUAAAGUGUCAUACAAUUACGACUCAUGUACAUUAACAUACAGGUCUUGUUUUAUCAAAAAAGUAACUAAUGAAUGAAAGAAGAGAUGAGGACAUUUCAGAGUAUAACAAUCCUUUAUUUAAACAGUGUUACACAGGGGAGGAGUGGCUGUGUAUGGGGAGACACAAGACAAUUAAGCUGCUACUGUAGAUAGAAAAAAAAAAACCCUACCAGUGAUCAUUGGUAUGCUAAGAGGGAGCAAUGAGGCAGUUGGUUGGUUUUCCAAAAUUAUAAUUUUUUUAAUAAAGUUUUUUUUUUUUUUUUUGCCAGUGAGUUUUUACUUUGUUAAAAUAGAAAAUGGUGCUGGUUUUAAUUCACUUUAAACUGUACCAUUUGGCCAAACUGCAGUACAAAGCCGCCUGAGAUAUAACUGUAAAGAACGUAGUACACUGUGAAUUAGUUGUAUAUCUGAGGGCAGCAUGCUGUUGGGUACCAUGUUGAAAUCCCUGACAUUUAAAAUCAGCUGGCGUAGAUUCAUCAUCAGUAUCCAUGUAGUGACUUCAUGGAGCUGCCUUUAAAAAAAAAUGAACAUUUUCAACAGCCCAACUCUGUCUGUGCUGUUUUUUCAUCUUAAUAAAAGUUGCUGUGGCCACACAUUCAUUUGUAAUACCAUUUUUGGAAAACCUUACCUCGCAGCCCCACAGCUCCUGUGAUUGGUUAAAACAGAGCCCAGGCCAACCUUAAACAGGUUACGCCUCGAGCACAGAAGUACAAAAAGGAAAAUAGUGGCAGAAAAUUUGAUUUGUAGUGGUGUUCAUUUAACGUCAAAAAACACUGACAAUAUUAGAAAAUUUCCAAGAAGGAGCACAAUAAAUCCUGUCUUUCAACAACUAGAUCAGUUUCACAGAGAAAAUACGACAAAUGAUGAGAAAUGCAAGCUACAAAUACAGUUGUGAUAGAGCCGAUGCUUUUUAAAAGACUCUUUUUUUUUUUUUUUGGGACAGCGAAAGCCUCCAAAGCUGCCUAGUGUUUUUUUUUUUUUAUUAUUGUUUUCUGCUACUGUCUCUUUGAAAGAGGGUUAGAGGUUAAUACUCCACCCUCAUCUGGAAUGUCAUUUAACUGCAUAGUAGAGGUCAGACCAGUGUUUCCCAAAAGACGGCCUAGACCGUCAUUACCACUCCAUUGUCAACAUUGACAACAACUUUUAAAAAAGAGUCAAAUUAAGAGGUACAUAAUAAUGUUCACCUGCUGUUACAAAUAAAAUCACAUAUCUGGCUAAAACUCUUCAAUUGAUUUGCUUUUAUGGAAUUUCAAAUGUGAAAAAAGUGUGUAAAAACAUUAAUUAUUCUGUUGACUCCAAUUCAAAUCAUGUCCAGUCAGACAGGAUGUGGAUGAAUCUAGGCACGUCAAAGUGGAAUGUGGUUUUUUUUUUUUUUACAUUUAUCUGUGGCACUUUGCUUUUUGAUUAUCAGUUGGAUUGAAACUGUGUUUUUGUUUGUUUGUUUGUUUUUCACUGCUCACACUGAAAAUCUGUCAACUAAAUGCGUUUAGACCAAGCGGACCUUGUUUGAAACGCAUUUCAUGCCACGAUUAUUUACACAAAUGAAUAAAACAUCAUGAGAUUCCAUUUAGGGAUUUCAAGAGCA